rnacentral:pre_miRNA from 1 species
GUUGAUAAGAGGAAGAAAGAGAGAACUCAAGAGCACUAGGAAAGGGAACAUGGAGGAAACCCCUGCUUGUUUGUUCGCACCUCUAGUGUUUGAGGUGCAAAUGUUUUGCAUGGAUCCUUUCUUGAUGCCUCCCAUUCCCACCGUUCUUGUGCACCUCUUCCUCUUCCUUUUGACU